UGAACCGCAUGGUUCAGACAUAAAAGGUGGCUUCGGCUACCACUUACAGAUGGACCCGCGGCGCAUUAGCUAGUUGGUGAGGUAACGGCUCACCAAGGCGACGAUGCGUAGCCGACCUGAGAGGGUGAUCGGCCACACUGGGACUGAGACACGGCCCAGACUCCUACGGGAGGCAGCAGUAGGGAAUCUUCCGCAAUGGACGAAAGUCUGACGGAGCAACGCCGCGUGAGUGAUGAAGGUUUUCGGAUCGUAAAGCUCUGUUGUUAGGGAAGAACAAGUGCCGUUCAAAUAGGGCGGCACCUUGACGGUACCUAACCAGAAAGCCACGGCUAACUACGUGCCAGCAGCCGCGGUAAUACGUAGGUGGCAAGCGUUGUCCGGAAUUAUUGGGCGUAAAGGGCUCGCAGGCGGUUUCUUAAGUCUGAUGUGAAAGCCCCCGGCUCAACCGGGGAGGGUCAUUGGAAACUGGGGAACUUGAGUGCAGAAGAGGAGAGUGGAAUUCCACGUGUAGCGGUGAAAUGCGUAGAGAUGUGGAGGAACACCAGUGGCGAAGGCGACUCUCUGGUCUGUAACUGACGCUGAGGAGCGAAAGCGUGGGGAGCGAACAGGAUUAGAU
rnacentral:rRNA from 1 species